rnacentral:rRNA from 1 species
UACAGAGGUGGCAAGCGUUGUUCGGAAUUACUGGGCGUAAAGGGCGCGUAGGUGGCCUUCUUAGUCAGACGUGAAAUCCCCCGGCUUAACCUGGGAACUGCGUCUGAUACUGGACGGCUUGAGUAUGGGAGAGGAACGUAGAAUUCCAGGUGUAGCGGUGAAAUGCGUAGAUAUCUGGAGGAACACCGGUGGCGAAGGCGGCAUCCUGGACCGGUAUUGACGCUGAGGCGCGAAAGCUAGGGGAGCAAACGGG